GUCUCAGACACCCUGCUGCUGGGAACACAGGGCUCCAUGUGUCCCAACGGUAGCAGGGCAAGUGCAGCAUCUCCCAGCAGCUUUCUGGCCAGCCCUGCGCCGAUUCUGCUUCAUGCAGUACACAUCUGGAGCCCCAGCCCUGGGCAGCCUUCAGUCCCUUUGGGCAGGACCAGUGCCUCUCAAUGCUGGGGGCUGGAGCCAUCCUGGGUCAGGUCCUAGAGCGUGGGUCAUCUCCCCAGAUACAGAGCGUUUGGUAGGAUCCCACAGACCCAGAGCUCAGCAGAUUGGGAUUUUUCCCCUUCGUGCUCAGUCAAACCCCAGGUGAAGAGGCAUGAAGCAGGUCCCUGGCUCUUUCUCUCCCUUCUGUGGUAUGAAAUGUCCCCAGCAGGACUGCAGGAGGGGAUGAUCUCACAUGCUCUGGGGUCACCAGGGGAGCUGCUGUCUCCUUCAGGGCAAUGUCUCUUUCCUUCUUCUUGUGCCUCACAUUCCCCAUGCUGGGCCCACUGGAGCGUGUGUGCCCCUUUCCUUUGCAAACACUUUGUGGUACUCCAGCCUGACCCAAACAUGUCCCCAGACACUUUGAGGCAGAGCAGAUGAUGCUGGAGGUAUGCAGACAGGCAGAGCUAGGACUGAAGCCCCAAAACUCCUCGCUAUCAAAUAGGAGUCACGUUCCUACAGCCCUCCAAGCACUUCUGUACAAAUUCCCCCAAAGGAAUCAGAUCGUGAGCAUGAAAAUACAUUACUGCCAAACUCAGCACAGAUGAAAUGCCUCAGAGUUUGCACAGUGGGUCUUUCAGAGCUAACAUUUACCUGGGUUUCCCAGUGGGAAAGGAGGAAGGAGCAAAAUACAUCAUCCAACAAACAUCUCUUUUUUCCUACAUAGCUUUUGGGAAGUCUCCAAGCUUUUACUUCCCUCUGGGUGAUCCAUUGCUUCUCCCUCUCCUGGGAUGCUAUGGGGAAUGCUGUGCCGAGCUGCCUGGGAUGGCAUGGCGUGUUGUCCCAGCCUCACCCUUCCUGCUGGGGCAGGGAUGCUUUGUUUGCCUUUCGUGCCUGUGUGAGCUGAACCAGCCUGUUGUUUUUUUUCCCUUGGGAUCCACCUAGAGGGAAGCGUCUCGUGGUGGGAAGCUGUUGGCAGCAUGGUACAGCCCCAGCCCUGUAUCACCAGCACGGGCCGAGCCCUACACAAACAGCCCAGCCCUCUGCUGGGGCAGGCAGGGAGUUACCCAACAGAGGGAUGGGACUGUGCCCAGCUCUGCUCCAUGGGACACAGGGAAAGCAGCAGCUGCAACAGCACUCCGGAUCGUCACUGCUGGGAAUUGUGCCAUGCCGGAGGCUGCCAUGCUGUUGGCCACCUGUUGUGCCUGGCCUUAUUUUGAUGAUUAUUUCGAGAUUUCUCCAAGCAGGGUGCAAGCAGGCAGUGUGAGCAUGGGGGAAGUAAUGGGCAGAAAGCACAGGGACUUGAAGGGGACAGCCCUCAGGGUCCCCUGUCUGUGCCACCCAGUGUCCCCAUAUGGCAAUGGUGCAAUAUGGGGCUAUGCAACUCAAGAGGCUGCAGCAACCCAAGGGCACAGCCCACAGCUCGCUGGACUUUUACCCCGCUGUGCAAACAGGCAGGCGCCUGAUUAGGGGAUCGGUUGGAAUUCCAUGCUGUCAUUGGCACCAGGAGCUUCUCUAGGGUGGUGGCAGAGCAUCUUCCCCCUGUGUGGCCCUCACCUUCCUGCAGGCACCAAAGUGCCCAACGGCACACUGCCCUUUGGGCAGGAGACCCAUCCACCCCAGUACCUUUCCCCUUAUGGCAUCAGCCCCAUUUCCAUUGGCUCUCCAGCCUGUUUUAGCAACCAGUGCUCCACUAUGCCCUGUGCCAGGCUCAGCAGGGUGCAACUCUGGGCACAGCCACUCCUGCAAGGUCACAGAGAAAGAAACAUUGCUCUGCCCCUCUCUCUGCCCCAUCCCUCCAUUGCUCCUCUUUCUCCUCUACCCAGAAGGACCUUACCCUGCACCACAUCCACCUGCCCCACCUGCACAUCCUUGUGUGUUUUGAGACUGGAGGAGCUGUUUUGGGCAGGGAUUUGAUGGCAGCCCCAAAUCUGAUGUGGCUGGGAUGGAGAUAGGCAGUGAUAAGGGAGGAUAUUCAGCUCAUCAACAGCCAUAAAAUGAGAUUAGAGGAAGGCAAGUACCAAUCAGCAGCAGCCACGUCAGUGGGCAGCUGGCCUUGUUCUUUGGCCUCCAGCACCAGCAAGGCCCAGCCUCACCCUUUCCCUGGUUGUUCCCAGGAAACCAUCCGUCCCUUGGCCAUUUCCACUGUACCCAAGGGACAGGAUGUAGUGGCCAUGCUGCCCUCAUGAGAUGGGCACACAGCACACUGCAACCAGGCUGUGGGGCUCCGGA